rnacentral:lncRNA from 1 species
GGAAUAUCAAAUAGUUGUGGGAAAUAUCUAAUAGUUUUAGGGAACAUCUAAUAGUUUUGCGGAAUAUCAAAUAUCUUUGAUGAAUAUCUAAUAGUUUUGGGGAAUAACCUAUAGUUUUUUGGAAUAUCUAAUACAUUUAGGGAAUAUCGAAUAGUUUUGGAGAAUAUCGAAUAGUUUUGCAUACUUAGUAACACUCUUAUGUCAUGUAUUCUUCUCCCUAUAUAGGUUUGGGAAAUAUUGUUUAGUCUGGGAAACAUCUAAUAGUUUUGGGGAAUAUCUGAUAGUUUUGGGGGAUAACCUAUAGUUAUGGAGAACAUCGAUUAGUUUGUAGCAACAUCUAAUAGUUUUGGGAAAUAUCGAAUAGUUGUGGGGAAUAUCUAAUAGUUUUGCAUACUUGGUAACACUCUUAUGUCAUGUAUUCUUCUCCCUAUAUAGUUUUUGGUAAUAUCUGAUAGUCUGGGGUAUUAUAUACUAGUUUUAGGGAACAUUUAAUAGUUGUGGGGAAUAUCUAAUAGUUAUGCAUACUUGGUAACACUCUUAUGUCAUGUAUUCUUCUCACUAUAUAGUUUUGGGUAAUAUCUUAUAGUCUAGGAGAACAUCUAAUAGUUUUUGGGAAUAUCUAAUAGUUUUGGAAAUAUCUGACAGUUUUGGGGAAUAACCUAUAGUCUUGUGGAAUAUCUAAUAGUUUUGGGGAAUAUCUUAUUUCGUCCCCGAGGGUAUCACCAGCCCAGUAGUCAACAUUUCGGUGUUGACAUGAAUAUCAAUAAUGUGGUCAUUUUUAUAAAUUUCCUGUUUACAAAACUUUGAAUUUUUCGAAAAAAAAAAUGAUUUUCGUAUCCCAGGCAUAGAGUAACUUAGCCGUAUUUGGCAAAAUGUUUUGGAAUUUUGAAUCCGCAAUGCUCUUCAACUUUGUAAUUGUUUGUCUUUAUAAAUAUUUUGAUAUAGGCGUCACUGAUGAGUCUUAUGUAGACGAAACGCUAGUCUGGCGUACUAAAUUGAAAUCCUGGUACCUUUGAUAACUAUUAUAGUUUUGCGGAAUAUUUAAUAGUUUUGGGGAAUAUCUAAUAGUUUUGGGGAAUAUCUAAUAGUUGUUGGGAAUAUCUGAUAGUUUUAGUGAAUAUCUAAUAGUUUUAGGGAAUAACUUAUAAUUUUGCAUACUUGGUAAUACUCUUAUGUCAUGUAUUAUUCUCUCUAUAUAGUUAUCAUAGGUACCAGGAUUGUAUUUGUACACGACAGACGCUCAUUUCAUUUACACAAGACUCAUCAGUGACGCUCAGAUCAAAAUAGUUAUAAAACCAAACAAGUACAAAAUUGAAGAAUAUUGAGGAUCCAAAAUUCCAAAAAGUAACUGUAAAAAUUACUUUUCCCUAUCCCCGUUGUUUUCUCGAAUACGAAAUGAUUUUCUUUGUGCCUAAUUUCACAAUUAUUUAUCAUAUCUGCAUUGAUUAUAGCUUCUAGUAGAGUUGUGAUGAGAAAUCUGGUUUAUCCAAAGAUUGAUUAAUCGAUUUGAUGUUUUAUCUGUCUUUAUAUAUGAUAUGGGCUCCGUGGGAUAUAAAUCAACCACAUACAAGUGUAAUCAAUAUAUCUGUUAUUGUUUUCGUCUCGAAAUUAAAUUAAUAUCAAAAGUCUGUAACUGUUUGAAAAUUUAGUUGUGUUAAGAACUCUAUAAAACAGACCAAACUUCAUCCAUUAUUUCGUAUUUGAACAUGUUGAAUGUUCCUAAAACCAAUUAAAGUUGUGUGCAUGCACUUUAAAAGGUCUAUUUCUAUCCGACGCAGCUCAUAUUAUAUCGAAAUAAAAUAAUCGAACUACUACUCAAAAGCUACCUAGCUUUAAACUUAAGAUUUAAUCCACCAUGUUCUACAUAAGAAAAUAUCUGAACUAAGUCAGAAAUAUGACAAUUGUUAUCCAUUUGUUUGAUAUGUUUGAGCUUUUGAAUUUGUCAUUUAAUUAUUGACUUUUCCUUAUGAUUUUUUCCGAAGUUCGAUGUUUUUUGUUAUUUUACUUGUUUCAUUCUAAAAAGAAAACCUCAUUGAAGCUUCCAGAACCUUGUUUCGGCUACUACACUGGAUUUCUGUUUUAUUUCAUCGGGCAUAUUACACAAGUUUGAAAAGUAAAAUAUUAAAAAAAAGAAGAAAUUAAUGGUGAUAAUAAUGAUUUAACAAGAAUAAGACUUUAACACAUUUCGGCGAAGAGAGCAGACGAUUAUAUCAAUAUAUACCAACUUCCGCAAUUUAUGAUUCCUUGAUUUUAUUCUAUCAUAACUUCAUCAACGUACAAGCCCCCCAAGGGUGACUGGGGAAUAGACAUAAGGUCACUUGGUCUUCUCCCGACCGGCAGUAAAACGCUUGCUGAAGUGGGGCGUCCGUUUGGCUGUGCGGAAUGUAUCAAGUUCGCAGUCACGUACGGUCAGAAUGGGACGUUAAAUCCGAUUUCUCGUGUAGAGAGAGUGCCACGUUCUUUGCACGUUAAGAACCCUUGCAACAACUCUUUGAGGGGUCCGUAGGUGGCCUGUUGCAAGGCAAAAUUUCUGUCCC